UAAUUUUAUAAUUAAAAAUAAGGUGAACAACCAUUACACAACAAAAUUGAUUUCCUAGUAUCCCUUCCAUAAUCCCAACCACAGGGGGUUGAAAAAUUCCCAACUCGCCGUAAGAACAAAGCAGGCCUUGCGACUUUGUCAAACAGCUGAUCAAAACGGAUGAGGUUGAAUCCUUCAGGGUCACAUCACCAUCUGCACCUUUCACUCUUUCAUUGAUUCCCAUAAUUGGCUUUCCGUCCUCCUUUUUGCUUGCAACCUGAUGCCACUGCUUUCUAUCAAUAAGGCGUCACACCUAAACUUUUCGUGCGGCAAUAAGAUGGUAAUGGUGGUGGGGGCAUCACCCAUUUGGAAUUUUGCUUUUCAUUAUGCCACUUCUUUUCUCUUUCCAAACCAAAUCAAGCUGUUCAAGAAGGAUUUAGCUACCAAAUUUU
rnacentral:lncRNA from 1 species